rnacentral:rRNA from 1 species
UACAGAGGGGGCAAGCGUUAUUCGGAAUUAUUGGGCGUAAAGGGCGCGUAGGCGGCCGUGCAAGUGGAAGGUGAAAUCCCUCGGCUCAACCGAGGAACUGCCUUUCAAACUGCAUGGCUUGAGUCCGGGAGAGGUGAGUGGAAUUCCCAGUGUAGCGGUGAAAUGCGUAGAUAUUGGGAGGAACACCAGUGGCGAAGGCGGCUCACUGGACCGGAACUGACGCUGAGGCGCGAAAGCGUGGGGAGCAAAGCAGG